AGUAGCUUUAGCUGGCUUUAUUAUGUAGGUUUUACCAAUAUUAAUAAACACCCAGUUAAUUGGCUGAAAGGUUUGUGGUAAGAAGCCUAAACAAAAAUUUUGUUUUAGAACAUAAAUUUUGACCUCAAAUCAGGUAAGGAUACCCGCUGAACUUAAGCAUAUCAAUAAGCGGAGGAAAAGAAACCAACAGGGAUUGCCUUAGUAACGGCGAGUGAAGCGGCAAAAGCUCAAAUUUGAAAUCUAGUGCCUUUGGUACUCGAGUUGUAAUUUGAAGAAUUUUUCUCCGAACAGUCCUUUAUCUAUGUUCCUUGGAACAGGACGUCAUAGAGGGUGAGAAUCCCGUGUGAUUUUGGAUACUGUUCAUUGUGAGAUUUAUUCGAAGAGUCGAGUUGUUUGGGAAUGCAGCUCUAAGUGGGUGGUAAGUUCCAUCUAAAGCUAAAUAUUGGCGAGAGACCGAUAGCGAACAAGUACAGUGAUGGAAAGAUGAAAAGAACUCUGAAGAGAGGGUGAAAAAGUACGUGAAAUUGCUGAAAGGGAAGGGCUUUAGGUCAGACUUGGUGUUUAAUACUCAGUUCUCCUUGUGGGAGCUGCUCUUGUUUUUCACUGGGCCAAUAUCAGUUUUGGCGGUAGAGCACCUCUGGAAAUGUAGCUGCCUUCGGGUAGUGUUAUAGUCUGGGGACGAUCUACUGCUGGGACUGAGGUCUGCGCAUUUUGCUAGGAUAUUGGCAUAAUGACCUUAAGCCGCCCGUCUUGAAACACGGACCAAGGAGUCUAACGUCUAUGCGAGUGUUUGGGUGUAAAACCCG
rnacentral:rRNA from 1 species